GACGAACGCUGGCGGCGUGCCUAAUACAUGCAAGUUGAGCGCUGAAGGUUGGUACUUGUACCAACUGGAUGAGCAGCGAACGGGUGAGUAACGCGUGGGGAAUCUGCCUUUGAGCGGGGGACAACAUUUGGAAACGAAUGCUAAUACCGCAUAAAAACUUUAAACACAAGUUUUAAGUUUGAAAGAUGCAAUUGCAUCACUCAAAGAUGAUCCCGCGUUGUAUUAGCUAGUUGGUGAGGUAAAGGCUCACCAAGGCGAUGAUACAUAGCCGACCUGAGAGGGUGGUCGGCCACAUUGGGACUGAGACACGGCCCAAACUCCUACGGGAGGCAGCAGUAGGGAAUCUUCGGCGAUGGACGAAAGUCUGACCGAGCAACGCCGCGUGAGUGAAGAAGGGUUUCGGAUCGUAAAACUCUGUUGGUAGAGAAGAACGUUGGUGAGAGUGGAAAGCUCAUCAAGUGACGGUAACUACCCAGAAAGGGACGGCUAACUACGUG
rnacentral:rRNA from 1 species